GGUAUCCCUACAUAGCGGGUGGGACCCACGGCGAAUGGUUCAUCAAGUCUUCAAAAAAGAAUAUAUACGAUUGCAUUGCAUAUACUAACGGAUGCGAUCAUACCAGCACUAAUGCACCGGAUCCCAUCAGAACUCCGCAGUUAAGCGUGCUUGGGCGAGAGUAGUACUAGGAUGGGUGACCUCCCGGGAAGUCCUCGUGUUGCAUCCCUCUUUUAUAUUUAACCUCUUUUUUUUUGGUU
rnacentral:rRNA from 1 species